ensembl:lncRNA
UAAGAAAAAAAGGAAAAUUGAUCAUUCAGGUGUUACACUAAAUGAUCAAUUUGAUAAAAAUCACGAAAGUGUGAAAGUAAACAAAGAAAGUAGUAAACAUGAGAAAAAGUCAAAAAUGAUAUCAAAAAAUAUAAUUGAUAAGAACGCUAACUCCAAAUGUUCCUUUUCAGUAGUAGAUAAUCAUAUAACAGAGCCCUGUCAAAAAAAAAAAAUAAAUAAAAUAAAAGAAGAAAAAGAAAUACAUACUAGUAAAAGUCAGCUAAAUAGUGUUGAAAAUGGUGUAUGCUGGUCAGAGAAUAAUAACCUUGGUGAAAUUCUGGAGGGUGAAGAUGACACUUGUAAAAAAAAGAAAGGUAUUAAGCAUGACUUAAAAUAUAUUACUAACAAGAAUACUAAAAAACUAAAAAAAACUGGUAUAUCUAAGAAAGAAAAAUUAUCUUUAAAAAGAAACGUCACUUUUGUAGAAGAGAGACCAAGUGUAGCUUCUAUGCAAAGUGGUACAGAUAAAGAAAAAAAUAAUAUGAAGAAAAAAAAAAAAAAAAUGAAUAAAGAUAAAAUAAAAAACAAACAGAUAAAGGAUGUUAAUGAACAACGCGUUCCAUAUAAUAAUAAUUAUAAACAUGAAGAAGAAGAAAAUAUUAAAAUAACAUUUAAUGUAACUAAUCGUUUUACAGUAUUAGGUUGCGAUUGGGACAAUUUGUCAAGUACUGAUAUUUUUUAUUUAUUUGAAUCUUAUUACAAUUUUGAAAAACGUAAAAAAAAAAAAAUUGAUUAUACAAAGAGUAAAGCAGUUAAAAAAGUUACCAUAUAUACAUCUAAGUAUGGAGAAAAGAAACUUAAAUAUGAAGAAGAACACGGUCCGCUUUUUAGUAUUGAUAUUUUAAAAAAAGCAAAAAGGAAAAAUAAAAUGGCAAUAUAUAGAAAAAAUAACUUUUUAGAUUGUAUAAAAGAUGAUACGUUUGUUGGAAAAGGAGAAAAGAGAGAAAUUGUUGAAGAAACUGAAGAAGAGGAAGAGGAAGAGGGAGAGGAAGAGGAAGAGGAAGAGAGAGAGGGAGAGGAAGAGGAAGAGGAAGAGGAAAAGGAAAAGAAAGAAGAAGAUGAAGAAGAAGAAGAAGAAGAAAAGGAAAAGAAAGAAGAAGAUGAAGAAGAAGAAGAAGAAGAAGAAGAAGACGAAGAAGAAGAAGACGAAGAAGACGAAGAAGAAGAAGAAAAGGAGCAAGAAGAAGAAAAUAACUCAUCCGAUUCAUCAGAUCUUAGAACAAAUAAAAACACAAAUGACAUUUUACACACUACUGCUCAUGAUGAAGAAGAAAACAAUGAAAAAAUACGACUAUACCAAAUACAACGGUCAAAAUAUUAUUUUGCUUUAGUAGAAUGCUAUAAUAAAGAAAUAGUCGAGUUUUUAUAUGAAGAGCUAAAUGAUAUGGAUGCAGAUUUUUGUAUUAAUUAUUUAGAUCUGCGGAUAAUAGAUGAUAAUUGUAAUCUUGAUGAUUAUAUUAUCAAAGAAUCAUGUGAUAAGAUUCCAGAUAAUUAUGAGUUUCAUUAUAAUUUUAGUACAGCUUUAAAGCAUAGUAAUGUAAAAUCAACAUGGGAUGAAAAUUUGAAGAGAAAAAAAAUAUUAUCAACAAAGUUUACUGAAGAACAAUUAAGAGAAUUAGACUUAAAAGAAUAUUUAGCUAAUUCAUCUAGUGAUGAUGAAAAUGAUAAUGUUCAGGAAAACGAUUCAGAAUUGCACACAAAGUUAAUUAAUAAAAAUGAAUAUAACAGCAAACAGAAAUAUAGAGAUCUAUUAUUAGGGGAUAUACUAACAAAUAUAAAAGAUGAUAACUCUGACCAACAUAGCUUGUUAGAAUUAGAUGAUUCCUUAGAAUUAAAUAAUGACAAAUAUUUCCACGAAGACAAUGAAAAUGUUAUAGAAAAGGUAGAGGUUACUAGUGAAAAUAAUCGGGGUUAUCCUUGGUGUACUAAACAAGUGGAGAAAUCUAUGAAAGAUAAAAAAAAAGUGGAAACUGUAAAAAAUGACACAAAAAGAACUAAUGAUACAUUACAUUUGUUAGAGAAAAAAUGUAACAAAAAUUAUGCUAUUACUAAAAAUGAUGCAUAUAUAAAAAAUAAUGAACACGUUAUACAAAAAGAUAAAAAACAAAAGAAUGGUAAACAUAAUUAUAAUAAUAAUGCUUAUUUGAAUAAUAAUGAUGAUAACGACCUUGACGAUGAAAAUGAUAUGAUAAAUAUUUUUAAAAAUAUGAUGAAAAAUAAAGAGAAGAAAGAAGUUAAGAAAACUCCGUGGGAAUUAUAUUUGGAUAAAUAUAAAGAGAAAAAGAAAUUGAAGAAAAAAUCUUAUUUAGAACAUUUAAAAAAAAGAGAUGAAGAAAUAAAAAAAAUAAUAACUAAAAAAUCAAAUAAAAGAAAAAAAGACAUCACAGUAAAAAAUCAUGAAGAUAAUAUUAAUAAAAAGAAAAAAGGUGAUAGUUACAUACUUGAUGAGAGGUUUACUGAUCUCAUUAAAAACAAAGAUUUUAAUUUGGAUAUAACAAAUCCAAAAUUUAAAAAAACGAAAUUUAAUGAAGAAAUUUUUGAAAAAAAAAUGA